GGGGGCGUUUAUGGAUUCGACGGGGGUAGUUCGAGCAUGGGUAGCGGGUAGUGGGGCUCGCGUCCACUAUAAAACGCGUAAGCCAAAUUUAAACGGCAAAACUAACAAUCAACCUGUAGCUCUGGCUGCCUAAUAAGCAGUCGCUACGCUCCUACUCUGCAUCGCCCAUGUGCCGGGCUAGGGGCUCAACUAUAGUGGGAUACGCCGCUUAGUCUCCGCCUGGGGCUAACGGAAGAAGACAAUCAGGCUGACCUUAAGAGAACCCAGUUGCAGGGGGCCUCCUAGGGUGACAUCAAAUCUGCAACUACACCCGUAGAAGCCUGUGUGGCGUUAUCUUCGGACAGGGGUUCAACUCCCCUCGCCUCCACCA
rnacentral:tmRNA from 1 species